AAAACCACCAUCCCUUCUUGCCCUACCACUGCAGAUCAGGGAAUCAGGUGAUAAGAAUGAAGAAUAGGUGACUGAGCCAAGAGUGAGAGAAAAAACUAAUAUAUAUUGCAUUCCUGCUAUAUGCCAAGCGUUAUGCUGCAUUAUCCAACAAAUAUUGCCACAUGCCUACCAUAUGCCAGAACUAUUUUAAACACUGGGGUUACAAAGUGACUCCAUCUACUAAAGAAUAAAACAUUAGAGCACUGGUUCUCUCCACUAAUCAACCGUCAUAGCCUUGGAAGUGAACUACCCCAAAUCUCGCAUCAUCAGAAUUAAUACUGUUUUAUACACCAAACAGAUUCCUUCCUCCCAGAGUUAGCACUGUAACUGAGGCCCUGAAGGCUGGUAAAGAACUGAUUGUCCCCUCAGACUGGUCACUCAACACUGGUCUGGCAGCUGUCCUGUUUGGGUUAUGUGUGCCUCAGUCCAGAGCCGAGCCUCAAUAAUGGCAAUGUUUUGUCUGCCCACCUAGCAAACAGUGAGUUCCCACACCACAAAUAGCCACCACCUUUGUACGUUCAAGCAACUGUUCAUUUG
rnacentral:lncRNA from 1 species